GAUGAACGCUGGCGGCGUGCCUAAUGCAUGCAAGUCGAGCGACGCACACCGGAGGGGUAACCCACUGGUAUGACGGAGCGGCGAACGGGUGAGUAACACGUGAGUAACCUGCCCCACAGACCGGGACAGCCCAGGGAAACCUGGAUUAAUACCGGAUACCCUCGGGGGAUCGCAUGAUCUUUCGAGGAAAUGCCUUUGUGCUGUGGGAUGGACUCGCGACUUAUCAGCUAGUUGGUGGGGUAACGGCCUACCAAGGCGGCGACGAGUAGCUGGUCUGAGAGGACGAUCAGCCACACUGGGACUGAGACACGGCCCAGACUCCUACGGGAGGCAGCAGCAGGGAAUCUUGCGCAAUGGGCGAAAGCCUGACGCAGCAACGCCGCGUGGGGGAUGAAGGCCUUCGGGUUGUAAACCCCUUUCAGGAGGGAAGAAAUUGACGGUACCUCCAAAAGAAGCACCGGCCAACUACGUGCCAGCAGCCGCGGUAAUACGUAGGGUGCGAGCGUUAUCCGGAAUCAUUGGGCGUAAAGAGCUCGUAGGCGGCUCGGCAAGUCGGAUGUGAAAUUCCAGGGCUCAACCCUGGAACGCCAUUCGAUACUGCUGUGGCUAGAGUCCGGUAGAGGAGAAUGGAAUUCCCGGUGUAGCGGUGAAAUGCGCAGAUAUCGGGAGGAACACCAGUAGCGAAGGCGGUUCUCUGGGCCGGUACUGACGCUGAGGAGCGAAAGCGUGGGGAUCAAACAGGAUUAGAUACCCUGGUAGUCCACGCCGUAAACGUUGGGCACUAGGUGUGGGAUUCCGACCAACGACUGCCGUGCCGAAGCUAACGCAUUAAGCAUCCCGCCUGGGGAGUACGGCCGCAAGGCUAAAACUCAAAGGAAUUGACGGGUCCCCGCACAAGCGGCGGAGCAUGCGGCUUAAUUCGAUGCAACCCGAAGAACCUUACCUGGCCUUGACAUGUAUCUAGUACGACCGUGAAAGCGGGAGGAUCUAGCAAUAGAAGGAUACACAGGUGCUGCAUGGCUGUCGUCAGCUCGUGUCGUGAGAUGUUGGGUUAAGUCCCGCAACGAGCGCAACCCUUGUGUCCUGUUGCCACUCCUGCGAAAGCAGGAAGCACUCUGGACAGACUGCCUCAUUUAAAUGAGGAGGAAGGUGGGGAUGACGUCAAGUCAGUAUGGCCCUUACGGCCAGGGCUGCACACGUACUACAAUGCCUGGUACAACGGGAAGCAAGACCGCAAGGUGGAGCAAAUCCCUUAAAACCAGGCCCAGUUCGGAUUGUCGUCUGCAACUCGACGGCAUGAAGGUGGAAUCGCUAGUAAUGGCGCAUCAGCUACGGCGCCGUGAAUACGUUCCCAGGCCUUGUACACACCGCCCGUCACAUCAUGAAAGCCAGCUGUACCCGAAGUCACUGCACUAACCGUAAGGAAGUAGGUGCCGAAGGUAUGGCUGGUGAUUGGGAUGAAGAGGGAACAAGGUAAC
rnacentral:rRNA from 1 species